AUUGAACGCUGGCGGCAGGCUUAACACAUGCAAGUCGAGCGGAGCGAGGGUGCUUGCACCUUAGCUUAGCGGCGGACGGGUGAGUAAUGCUUAGGAAUCUGCCUAUUAGUGGGGGACAACAUUCCGAAAGGAAUGCUAAUACCGCAUACGCCCUACGGGGGAAAGCAGGGGAUCGUCGGACCUUGCGCUAAUAGAUGAGCCUAAGUCGGAUUAGCUAGUUGGUGGGGUAAAGGCCUACCAAGGCGACGAUCUGUAGCGGGUCUGAGAGGAUGAUCCGCCACACUGGGACUGAGACACGGCCCAGACUCCUACGGGAGGCAGCAGUGGGGAAUAUUGGACAAUGGGCGGAAGCCUGAUCCAGCCAUGCCGCGUGUGUGAAGAAGGCCUUUUGGUUGUAAAGCACUUUAAGCGAGGAGGAGGCUACUUAGAUUAAUACUCUGGGAUAGUGGACGUUACCCGCAGAAUAAGCACCGGCUAACUCUGUGCCAGCCGCCGCGGUAA
rnacentral:rRNA from 1 species